GCUGGCGUAGCUCAAUGGUAGAGCAAUUGAUUUGUAAUCAAUAGGUUGGGGGUUCAAGUCCCUUCGCCAGCUCAA
rnacentral:tRNA from 1 species